GCGGAGGUGGUGUAAAGUAGCACAUGUGCGUUCCACGCAUGGGAUGAAAGUGCAAAUCUUUCCCUCCGCU
rnacentral:tRNA from 1 species